CAGAAUUAUCAUGCAACAACAAUACGACCACUAUAAGAUCUGUGUGGCUAACGUCACUGCCCCGCCCUUUGGAGAAAGCUGGCUUAACUAUUGCGGAAACAUUGGCAAACGAUCAACAGAUCUAUGUCAUUCCUGCUGCGACUACGGCGGGUGUAACUACGGAACAUGUAAAGAAUUAAACGAUCGGAUGUUUAGUCUGGCAAUUCAAGGGAAGUUUGACAUGAACACACUAAAACCUAUAUAAAUAUCAGAAAGGAGCUGUUGCAUGUCAUCGGCAUUUUUUUCUAUAAGAAAAUAAAAAAUGACAUGUAGUACUGAAA
rnacentral:lncRNA from 1 species